rnacentral:rRNA from 1 species
UACGUAGGGUGCAAGCGUUGUCCGGAAUUAUUGGGCGUAAAGAGCUCGUAGGCGGUUUGUCGCGUCUGCUGUGAAAACUCGGGGCUUAACCCCGGGCCUGCAGUGGGUACGGGCAGACUAGAGUGCGGUAGGGGAGACUGGAAUUCCUGGUGUAGCGGUGAAAUGCGUAGAGAUCGGGAGGAACAUCAGUGGCGAAGGCGGCCCUCUGGACCAGUACUGACGCUGAGGCACGAAAGCGUGGGGAGCAAACAGG